rnacentral:lncRNA from 1 species
GCUCCUACAGCACUUGACCUAGUUUUCCACUUUCUGUGGGAAAGGCACCGCCAAGCAACUGACACUCCGACUUCCCGCUCCCGAGCGCGCUGCGCGGCCUGGCGCAGGUCUGUUUUAAUGUGGAAGCGGAUCUCACAGCUUAAUGUAAAUCUAACAAAGGAAAAAAGGAUGUCAAGAGUGGUCUUCCUUGAUUUCGAUGAAGGACCAUUGCAGGGAGCCAUGGAUAUUAGUUUAUAAAUGUAC